rnacentral:rRNA from 1 species
GUGUCAGCAGCCGCGGUAAUACAGAGGUCCCAAGCGUUGUUCGGAUUCAUUGGGCGUAAAGGGUGCGUAGGCGGCAGGGUAAGUUGGAUGUGAAAUCCUGGGGCUUAACCUCAGAAUUGCAUUCAAUACUGCCUUGCUAGAGAGCUGUAGAGGAGACUGGAAUUUACGGUGUAGCAGUGAAAUGCGUAGAUAUCGUAAGGAACGCCAGUGGCGAAAGCGAGUCUCUGGGCAGCAUCUGACGCUGAGGCACGAAGGCCAGGGGAGCAAACGGGAUUAGAUACCCCAGUAGUCC